rnacentral:rRNA from 1 species
AUUGAACGCUGGCGGCAGGCCUAACACAUGCAAGUCGAGCGAGCGGCGGACGGGUGAGUAAUGUCUGUGAAACUGCCUGAUGGAGGGGGAGAACUACUGGAAACGGUAGCUAAUACCGCAUACCAUCAGAUGUGCCAAGAUGGGAUUAGCUAGUAGGUGGGGUAACGGCUCACCUAGUCGACGAUCCCUAGCUGGUCUGAGAGGAUGAACAGCCACCCGGGAACUGAGACACGGUCCAGACGCCUACGGGAGGCAGCAGUGGGGAAUAUUGCACAAUGGGCGCAAGCCUGAUGCAGCCAUGCCGCGUGUGUGAAGAAGGCCGUCGGGUUGUAAAGCACUUUCAGCGGGGAGGCGUUACCCGCAGAAGAAGCACCGGCUAACUCCGUGCCAGCAGCCGCGGUAAUUC